rnacentral:rRNA from 1 species
UACGUAGGGUGCGAGCGUUGUCCGGAAUUAUUGGGCGUAAAGAGCUCGUAGGCGGUGUGUCGCGUCGGUCGUGAAAACUUGGGGCUUAACUCUGAGCUUGCGGUCGAUACGGGCAUCACUUGAGUUCGGCAGGGGAGACUGGAAUUCCUGGUGUAGCGGUGAAAUGCGCAGAUAUCAGGAGGAACACCGGUGGCGAAGGCGGGUCUCUGGGCCGGUACUGACGCUGAGACGCGAAAGCGUGGGGAGCGAACAGG